GACGAACGCUGGCGGCGUGCUUAACACAUGCAAGUCGAACGCUGAAGCACCAGCUUGCUGGUGUGGAUGAGUGGCGAACGGGUGAGUAAUACGUGAGUAACCUGCCCUUGACUCUGGGAUAAGCCCGGGAAACUGGGUCUAAUACUGGAUGCUACAUGUCACCGCAUGGUGGUGUGUGGAAAGGGUUUACUGGUCUUGGAUGGGCUCACGGCCUAUCAGCUUGUUGGUGAGGUAAUGGCUCACCAAGGCGACGACGGGUAGCCGGCCUGAGAGGGUGACCGGCCACACUGGGACUGAGACACGGCCCAGACGCCGACGGGAGGCAGCAGUGGGGAAUAUUGCACAAGGGGCGAAAGCCGGAUGCAGCGACGCCGCGUGAGGGAGGACGGCCUUCGGGUUGGAAACCUCUUUCAGCAGGGAAGAAGCCACAAGUGACGGUACCUGCAGAAGAAGCGCCGGCUAACUACGUG
rnacentral:rRNA from 1 species